CUUCGUAUGAAAAAUAGAGACAGAGAAGCCUUGUGAGAGAUGGAAGUAGGGGACGGAGAAAGGGUGGUGGUGGUUAUCGGCAUCAGUGGUAGGAGUGGUCGUGCGAUUCAGAUGUGAUGGAGUGGGGGUCAGAGAGAGAGAACACUUGCGUUGGAUGGCGGUCGGUUGCAUCUCGGAUGGUUUGCAGUUGUUGGUGGCGGUGAUUUCUGGUGCUGGUGCGGGGAGAUGGAGCAGACAUGGAUUUGGAAG